AUUGAACGCUGGCGGCAGGCCUAACACAUGCAAGUCGAGCGGAUGAGUGGAGCUUGCUCCACGAUUCAGCGGCGGACGGGUGAGUAAUGCCUAGGAAUCUGCCUGGUAGUGGGGGACAACGUUUCGAAAGGAACGCUAAUACCGCAUACGUCCUACGGGAGAAAGCAGGGGACCUUCGGGCCUUGCGCUAUCAGAUGAGCCUAGGUCGGAUUAGAUUGUUGGUGAGGGAAUGGCUCACCAAGGCGACGAUCCGUAACUGGGCUGAGAGGAUGAUCAGUCACACUGGAACUGAGACACGGUCCAGACUCCUACGGGAGGCAGCAGUGGGGAAUAUUGGACAAUGGGCGAAAGCCUGAUCCAGCCAUGCCGCGUGUGUGAAGAAGGUCUUCGGAUUGUAAAGCACUUUAAGUUGGGAGGAAGGGCAGUCAGCGAAUACCUGAUUGUUUUGACGUUACCGACAGAAUAAGCACCGGCUAACUCUGUGCCAGCAGCCGCAGUAACAC
rnacentral:rRNA from 1 species